rnacentral:ncRNA from 1 species
ACAAACCCAUUGAUGGGGAAAAGUAAUUUGGUCCUUUCCUUUCAGAGAGCCGGUGGGUGGUGCGAACCGGCAGGAAAUCCGAGUGAAUUCCUCCCCGGAGGGGAUUCGCCGAGACGCAGCGAAAGAUAAAGAAGAGCUGUGGAGUAGGCGGGUACGGGAUGAUACCCGUUAUAACAUUGAGUGGGCCGGAAGGAUUUAUUCCGGUCAACAAGGGUGGCAACGCGGGAGUAUUACCUCUCGUCCCUAAU